rnacentral:lncRNA from 10 species
UUUGUGCCACAUCAGGCCCUGCCUGGUGAAACUUUACUUUUCCCCCUUGGACACAACAAUACAGAAUUAUCCCCAUCUAUGCUUCCACCCUCCCUAACUUGGACUGCUGUCACCUUUUCUGGCACAAGAAAUCAGUAACAGAUGUCCCAGGCCUUGAAUAAGAAAACAGAGAUCGUAGGGUACUUUGUAAUAUGCUCAAACCUUAUCCUGGAGCUUACAUACAAUUAAAUUAAACUAUGUCAGGAUUUAUGCUUCAAUAGAGUCUAACGCUUUGGAACAUUCCCCCUCUUGGUAAAAUUUUAAACUGUCCCUUGAAAAAAUACAAAACAAAUUGAAAAUUUAUCCAUAGAGGGAUGUGGAAAAAUAAUCCUGGGUUUUAAGGGGUUUCUUUGCCAAGAUUAGACUGCAAAAGCAGCACAUUUCUAACUGGGAAGAUAAACACUAAUCAAAGUUAAAGAAAUCAUGAAAAGUGUCAAUACUCAUUUACCUAAGCCUAGAUCUGCAGAUCUAGGAAACCGUAGUUUUAGAUCAGGUAAAAAGAAGUUCACGUUUCAUAGUGAACUUAAAAACUUUGUUACCUCAAAUACUUGAGAAGCCUGUUUAUUUAGAUGGGAUCAUGGAUGUCAAGUUCAAAUUGUGAAGGGAAGAUGGAACCACCUGGAGAAUGUAUUUAGUGAUCUUGAUGUGAUAUUGUGAAAAUAACCCCUGACACCCCUAUCUAUCAAAAAUGCAUCAAGGGUCUGACCCAAGAUGGUAUUCCCGUUUUUCCUAUGACUUUGAUGAGGAGAAAGGAUGAGUACUUUUAUCCAGGAAUCUUCCGUGGCAUCAUCAGGAAGAACACAGAGCCCAGCCAAUUUUGAACAAAGACCAUUCAGCUUCCUGUUUCAGGACCUUCUAAAUCCUUAAAUCCCAUUGGCUUAGCACAGGCAAAACCUAACACCGCAGUAAAUGUCAUACUCCACCCAGGAGAGGGCAGCGACACUCACAACAAGCCAACAUUACACCAGGGCUUGGAAUGAUUGAAUAGAAAAACAGUAGAGAGGUCCAGGCUGCAGUGAGCCAUGAUCUUGCCACUGGACUCCAGCCUGGGCAACAGAGUGAGACCAUGACUCAAAAACAAACAAACAAAAAAAAAUGAAUUAGGGAAGAGAGAAAGAAGGAAGGAAGGAAGGAAGGAAGGAAGGAAGGAAGGAAGGAAGGCAAAAGAAAGAAAAAAGAAAAGAAAGAAAGAAAGAAAGAAGGAAAGAAAGAAAAGAAAAGAAAGGAAACCGAGUGUCUGAUGGUUGAAAGAUCAUUUGUCUUUCAUUCUUCACUGUCUCCAAGCAUGAACCAGGAGAAAUUUAAACGCAAGAAAAGCAACAAUCACUAUUUCAUCAACUCUCUCUCACAGCAGGGAGUUAUUCAAAAAUAAUAAUGCCUU